rnacentral:rRNA from 1 species
GGCGAACUGCUCAGUAACACGUCGAUAACCUACCCUUAGGUUAUGGAUAAGCUCGGGAAACUGAGUCUAAUACAUAAUAGGAGAUAUGCCCUGGAACGACUUAUCUCUGAAACCUAUGGCCUAAGGAUGGGUCGGCGGCGGAUUAGGUUGUUGGCGGGGUAAUGGCCCACCAAGCCGAAGAUCCGUAAGGGCUCUUAGCGGAGGGGCCCUGAGAGGGAAUCUGAGACACUAUUCCCAGCCCUACGGGGUGCAGCAGUUAGGCAUAAUCUACAAUGCGCGCAAGCGUGAUAGUUUGAGCCAGAGUGCUUCCCAAUCGGGAAGCUUUUGUGGAAUGUAAAAAGUUCCACGAAUAAGGACUGGGUAAGACGAGUGCCAGCCGCCGCGGUAAUACUCGCGGUCCAAGUCGCAGCCAUUAUUAUUGGGUCUAAAACAUCCGUAGCUCGUCUGGUAAGUUCCUUGUGAAAUCCGGCAUCUCAAGUGUCGGGCGUGCGGGGAGUACUGCCAGGCUAGAGACCGGGAGACGUAAGCAGUACGUUCUAAGUAGUGGUAAAAUACGUUAAUCUAGGACGGACUCACAAUAGCGAAAGCAGCUUACGAGAACGGUUCUGACAGUCAGGGAUGAAGGCUAGGGGCGCAAAACGGAUUAGAUACCCGUGUAGUCCUAGCAGUAAACACUGCACACUAAACAUCGGGAUCUCCUUGAGAGAUUUCGGUGCUGUAGGGAAGCCGAAGAGUGUGCUACCUGGGAAGUAUAGUCGCAAGGCCGAAACUUAAAGGAAUUGGCGGGGAGAUACUACAAUGGGUGACGCGUGCGGUUCAAUUAGACUCCACACCGUGAACCUCACCAGGAGCGACAGCAGAAUGAAGGUCAGUCUGAAGGGCUUACCUGACACGCUGAGAGGAGUUGCAUGGCCGACGUCAGCCUGUGCCGUGAGGUGACCUGUUAAAUCAGGUAACAGGCAAGACCCACGUGCCUAUUUAC